rnacentral:rRNA from 1 species
UUUCCGUAGGUGAACCUGCGGAAGGAUCAUUAUGAAUGCUUUGGGAUACCGUUGUG